rnacentral:lncRNA from 1 species
UUUUUAUCCAAGUCGUCACAAAUUCGUCCGAUUAAACGGAUAUCCGCCCAAUCUGGCACCCCCGCAGUUGCGUUAUGUAGUGAGUCAACACUGGAUGGAAAUAUAGGGAAACUGUACUAGGACAUAAAAACACAUGGAUGGAAAUGACAUUAUUAUGGUAUUUCUACGACAAUCUGAUAGCUAGAUCAGCUCUCUUCAAUCUGCAUUUCGUAUUAUCAAUCGUAAUUUUCUAAAGAAAUUUCUGUCCCGACGCUGUUUGGAUCAGUCUAAUAUCUGAAACAAGAAACACCUGGGGUCUAAUUUUAUCGGACUAUAUCAUGUUGGCACCUGUUAGGUAACGUUACAGACAUUUUUUCCCCACACAUGUCCCUUACAAAAAGUUAACAAAGACUAUAGUUUUAUUAAAAGUAAAAAAAAAUGUUUUAUUAUUUACAAAGAAAGACAAACAGUGGUGGUUAAUACCAGGUUAGCGCAUAAUUAAUAUCCUAUAGCAUUGCGGCGUGAAGAAAAUAAGCCUACCAGGUUGUAGUUCAUUUCACAAACGCUUAUCGUAUCAUCGUUUAUCGGCCCUUAAAAUGUUAAUCAUUUACUCACCUUACCAUUGUCCCAAAGCCCAUUUUUGUCUUUCUUGGAAAAUUCUGAAUGUCAAUGUUGACUGAAUGUUAUAACUUACUUCAAAAAAGGACGGGGAGCACCACAGAAACAUCAUAAAUGUGGUCGACAUGACUCUUGCCUUGUUUUCCAAGUCGUCGGAAGCCACAUAACAGUUGUUUGAAGAACAACUCCAAAUUCUCGAAAUAAAUGUCGUUAUUGACUGAAAAUUCCAACAUCCAGCUUAACUCUUUGUGGCGCUCUUCUGAGGGAUACAGCGAUCAUAACCGUUUGUGAGUCGGAUCUUUUCAAUGAAUCAAAUCACAACUGAUUUGAAUAAUUC